GACCUUCUGAUCCCUCGCUGCGCGCGGCGCGGGGUUGGCGACUUGGGCUCAGGGGCGGCGGGGCGGGGAGGUGCCUUGACCUAGGGACCCAGAGGCCGGGAGCAAGUCUCCUUUCGCCUUGGACUGCAGUGUCCCCCAGGGCAAGGCCUGAACCAGGUCGCGAGGGUCUGUCUCCCGUCUGGGGAGCUGAACUGCCCGAGACACUGUCGCAGUCGCGGGGACUUGUCUGGAGCGGCGGGGUCUGAGCCCAAGUCGGAAGCCGCCGCCGCCGCCAGCGUCCCGUGCGCCUGCCGCCCCGGGACCAGCCGCGAAACUUCUUCUCGGGACGGAGACAGCGCUCGCCGCCCGGGCCGAGGCCCAGCCCAAUAGGAAGCACCUGAUCCACACUCUUUCUAGCCCCAGGGAUGCUCAGGAAAGCAGCCUUUCUUUAGGGCUGUCAUCUGUUCUGGGGAUCUGUUGCUGUUUCUUGGGCCCACAGAAUACACUCCACACCUCGGGACUCCAUAAUAUUGGACAAGGCUGGAAGGCCCAUUUGGCUCCUGCAGCCUCUUAUGCAGGAGGACCUCCUGAGGCUUCGGGCAGGAGCUGGUGCACACCUGGAGGAGAGUGCUGGUGAAUGGCAGCUCCCGGGAGAUGGCUGAACCCCACUCCCCACCCGCUAGUCAUCCUCUUCAGCGGUCCUCCCAGAGCUGUCCUCAGCAUGGCAGCCUCCACAGCCCCUGGGUGUCACCCCCGGUUUCGUGUCUGCCUCGGACUCCAGACCUGCCCCUCCCAGGCUGGCCCAGAUGGAUCCUCUACAGUGACUAACCCAAACCAGCACCAGGCAGGGACCCAAUAAACCUUUGUGAAUG
rnacentral:lncRNA from 1 species